AGACAUGAACCACUGGCUGAGAAACAUCCUGAUUCUGACUCUCUGGCUAGAGUGUAAAGGAGAAGACAGAGUGACCCAGCCAGCAGGAGAUGUCAUUGCUGCUGAAGGAGACACAGUUACACUUGGCUGUACUUUUGAGACCAGUGACCCAGGUCCAACUUUGUUCUGGUACAAACAGGAUGGAGACAACAGCCCCAAAUUCAUACUGAGCCGCGUUCAACAGGAUGAUGGGAAAACAGAGGAAGAGUUUAAAGAAAGAUUUUCAUCCACACUGGAUUCCACCUCCAAAUCAGUUCCUCUGAAGAUCCAGAAGCUUCAGCUGUCUGACUCUGCUGUGUACUACUGUGCUCUGCGGCCCACAGUGACAGGAAACACCAAAACUCUGUACAAAAACCUUUGGAGCAAAGACAACAGAAUACUCCACAACGUCCACUAGAGGGAGUCACACACUGUUAAACUUCAGUGCUUUAUGAUAUAGUCAGGAUUUGUUUUAGUGGUGAUAGAAGCAACAUUAAAUGAAGCGCUACAGAUAAAACACAAUAAAGAAAUAACAGAACUUGAAUAUGUUCAUAGUAUUUUCAAAGUAUCUCCAAUAGUACUCCAGCAGAUUGUUUUCACAGACAAUUGAAAUGCUUGGUGACUGUAACCAUUGCAAGCUUUAAGCUGUGCUGCCUGGUUUGAAGCAAUAUGUAGACUGUAAUACUAAACCCCCAUUUGCACCUCUCACCAUAAUGUCCGUUUAAUUCCCACCUACAAGUCCCUGCUCAAAAGCAGGACAGCACAAGUAAAACUGUACUUGUUUGGAACAAUGAUGGCAUUGAGACCUUAAAGGGAAAUGAAGCAGUCAAUCAAGUUUACAUCAUUUACACAAUGGAUUUCCACUACGAUCAACAAUUAUACAAGAAACAUGACAAAUGUAAACGUAUAAAAGACAAAAGAAAAGAAGAACUGUCAUAUCUUUAACGGAAAGGGUGCCACCAUUGUGCAGUACGAUAACCUGCAAUGUCACGGGGUUGGUUGGCUUUAAGGCUCUGGGUGAGAGAUAGUGAAAUAUAGAGCCAGUGAAAGAGAAAUAGUGAAAGAGAUAGUGAAACAUAGACCUAGUGAAAGACAGAGCCAGUGAAAGAUAAUGAACAAGAGAUAGUGAAAGACACAGACAGGGAAAGAAAUAGUGAA